rnacentral:rRNA from 1 species
UUCCUACUACAUGGAUACCCGUGGUAAUUCUAGCAGCUAAUACAUGUCUGACAAGACCCAACUGUUACGGAAGGGUUGUAUUUAUUAGAUACAAAGCCAAUUUCUUGGUGAUUCNAAAUAACUUUGCGAACCUCAUGGCCUUGCGCUGGAGGUGCAUCAUUCAAAUUUCUGCCCUAUCAACUUUCGAUGGUAAGGUAUUGGCUUACCAUGUUUACAACGGGUAACGGGGAAUUAGGGUUCGAUUCCGGAGAGGGGGCCUGAGAAAUGGCCACCACUUCCAAGGAAGGCAGCANGCGCGCAAAUUACCCAAUCCUGACACAGGGAGGUAGUGACAAUAAAUAACAAUACAGAGCUCUUUGAGUUUUGUAAUUGGAAUGAGAACAACGUAAACACCUUAUCGAGGACCAAUUGGAGGGCAAGUCUGGCUGCCAGCAGCUCGCGGUAAUUCCAGCUCCAAUAGCGUAUAUUAAAGUCGUUGCA